UAGGGAAUCUUCGGCAAUGGACGAAAGUCUGACCGAGCAACGCCGCGUGAGCGAAGAAGGUUUUCGGAUCGUAAAACUCUGUUGUUAGAGAAGAACAAGGACGUUAGUAACUGAACGUCCCCUGAUGGUAUCUAACCAGAAAGCCACGGCUAACUACGUGCCAGCAGCCGCGGUAAUACGUAGGUGGCAAGCGUUGUCCGGAUUUAUUGGGCGUAAAGCGAGCGCAGGCGGUUUCUUAAGUCUGAUGUGAAAGCCCCCGGCUCAACCGGGGAGGGUCAUUGGAAACUGGGAGACUUGAGUGCAGAAGAGGAGAGUGGAAUUCCAUGUGUAGCGGUGAAAUGCGUAGAUAUAUGGAGGAACACCAGUGGCGAAGGCGGCUCUCUGGUCUGUAACUGACGCUGAGGCUCGAAAGCGUGGGGAGCAAACAGG
rnacentral:rRNA from 1 species